UACGUAGGGAGCGAGCGUUGUCCGGAAUUACUGGGCGUAAAGGGUGCGUAGGCGGCUAUUUAAGUCAGAUGUGAAAUACCAGGGCUUAACUCUGGGGGUGCAUCUGAUACUGGGUGGCUUGAGUACAGGAGAGGAAAGCGGAAUUCCUAGUGUAGCGGUGAAAUGCGUAGAUAUUAGGAGGAACACCAGUGGCGAAGGCGGCUUUCUGGACUGUAACUGACGCUGAGGCACGAAAGCGUGGGGAGCAAAC
rnacentral:rRNA from 1 species